GACGAACGCUGGCGGCGUGCUUAACACAUGCAAGUCGAACGGAAAGGCCCUGCUUUUGUGGGGUGCUCGAGUGGCAAACGGGUGAGUAACACGUGAGUAACCUGCCCUUGACUUUGGGAUAACUUCAGGAAACUGGGGCUAAUACCGGAUAGGAGCUCCUGCUGCAUGGUGGGGGUUGGAAAGUUUCGGCGGUUGGGGAUGGACUCGCGGCUUAUCAGCUUGUUGGUGGGGUAGUGGCUUACCAAGGCUUUGACGGGUAGCCGGCCUGAGAGGGUGACCGGCCACAUUGGGACUGAGAUACGGCCCAGACUCCUACGGGAGGCAGCAGUGGGGAAUAUUGCACAAUGGGCGGAAGCCUGAUGCAGCAACGCCGCGUGCGGGAUGACGGCCUUCGGGUUGUAAACCGCUUUCGCCUGUGAUGAAGCGUGAGUGACGGUAAUGGGUAAAGAAGCACCGGCUAACUACGUG
rnacentral:rRNA from 1 species